CAGUUGAGGGCGGGAUUUUGGCAACAGUGUACCAGUAUAAAUUACAGCGACACAUCGAUGACACUUCGUGAGAGCCGCUUGCUGACGGAUUAGCAGGGUCUAUGGUGGUUCCUCCGUGGACGCCAUGAAACCUUGAGUGAUCUCGUCGCACUAAUAUCAUCAUGACGGCGGAUCUCAUGUAAAUCCUCGCUGCCACGGGCGAGGUCAUCUGGCCCAGCACCAUUCAGAGGGGAAACUCCCUGUUUUGCGUUGGUGUCCAGGUGCGCAGAGGCCAGCGCCGUAAUGCUGCGAAGCCUGACAUCCUACGUGAAGCCUCAAGUCUACAACAAAGUCUAUACGAAGAACCGACCUGAAAAAAAACCAAUGCAUGUAAUGCUAAAAGUGAACCGAGAAACCUCUUUAACUUUACCGAAUCUUGAAUAAUGCUACAAGUGUUUUUUUGGUGAAACCUUUGGUUUCUGCAUUGCUUGGUUCAGUUGGUCCGGGGCCCAACUGACAAAACAAAAGCCCCGGAAAAAAAUGUAAAAAAAAUAAAAACUAAAUAAAAAUAGCAAAAUCCGCAACGAAAA